GUAUAGUAGUGCGUGUGCACAACAGUAAUUUCAUUACAUUCGAGUUUGUGUAAAAUUCCUCUGCCGGCCGAAGCUAGCAAGAGGCCAAAGGUUCACAGGGGUAUUGGAUGAAAGCCACCGCCGUGCACUUGCCAGUUCUGGCCAGCACAGACGGCAACCAUUCGUAAUCAUUAAUGAUCCUUCCGCAGGUUCACCUACGGAAA
rnacentral:misc_RNA from 1 species